UGGGCUAUCGCCAAGCGGUAAGGCACAGGAUUUUGAUUCCUGCAUUCCCCGGUUCGAAUCCGGGUAGCCUAA
rnacentral:tRNA from 1 species